rnacentral:rRNA from 1 species
GGCGGACGGGUGAGUAACGCGUGGGUAACCUGCCUUGUACUGGGGGACGAACAGUUAGAAAUGACUGCUAAUACCGCNUAAGCGCACAGUAUCGCAUGAUACAGUGUGAAAAACUCCGGUGGUACAAGAUGGACCCGCGUCUGAUUAGCUAGUUGGUAAGGUAACGGCUUACCAAGGCGACGAUCAGUAGCCGACCUGAGAGGGUGACCGGCCACAUUGGGACUGAGACACGGCCCAAACUCCUACGGGAGGCAGCAUG